rnacentral:rRNA from 1 species
CACGUAGGGCGCAAGCGUUGUCCGGAAUCACUGGGCGUAAAGAGCUCGUAGGUGGUUUGUUACGUCCGCUGUGAAAUCCUAGGGCUUAACCCUGGGCCUGCAUUCGAUACGGGCAGACUAGAGUUCGGUAGGGGAGUCUGGAAUUCCUGGUGUAGCGGUGAAAUGCGCAGAUAUCAGGAGGAACACCGGUGGCGAAGGCGGGACUCUGGGCCGAUACUGACGCUGAGGAGCGAAAGCGUGGGGAGCAAACAGG